AGUGAACGCUGGCGGCAGGCCUAACACAUGCAAGUCGAGCGGCAGCGGGUUCCCGCGAGGGAUGCCGGCGAGCGGCGGACGGGUGAGGAACACAUCGGAAUCUGCCUGGUUGUGGGGGAUAACGUAGGGAAACUUACGCUAAUACCGCAUGCGACCCUGAGUCGACGGACUGGGGGUGAAAGUGAGGGACCUUCGGGCCUCACGCGACCAGAUGAGCCGAUGUCGGAUUAGCUAGUUGGCGGGUAACGGCCGCCAAGGCGACGAUCCGUAGCUGGUCUGAGAGGAUGAUCAGCCACACUGGGACUGAGACACGGCCCAGACUCCUACGGGAGCAGCAGUGGGAAUC
rnacentral:rRNA from 1 species